rnacentral:rRNA from 1 species
GAAAAGAAACCAACAGGGAUUGCCCUAGUAACGGCGAGUGAAGCGGCAACAGCUCAAAUUUGAAAUCUGGCGUAAGCCCGAGUUGUAAUUUGUAGAGGAUGCUUCUGGGUAGCGGCCGGUCUAAGUUCCUUGGAACAGGACGUCAUAGAGGGUGAGAAUCCCGUAUGUGACUGGCUUGCACCCUCCACGUAGCUCCUUCGACGAGUCGAGUUGUUUGGGAAUGCAGCUCUAAAUGGGAGGUAAAUUUCUUCUAAAGCUAAAUACCGGCCAGAGACCGAUAGCGCACAAGUAGAGUGAUCGAAAGAUGAAAAGCACUUUGGAAAGAGAGUUAAAAAGCACGUGAAAUUGUUGAAAGGGAAGCGCCCGCAACCAGACUUUGCGGCGGUGUUCGGCUGGUCUUCUGACCGGUUUACUCGCCGCCGUGAGGCCAUCAUCGUCUGGGACCGCUGGAUAAGACCUGAGGAAUGUAGCUCCCUUCGGGGUGUGUUAUAGCCUCUGGUGAUGCAGCGCGUCUCGGGCGAGGUCCGCGCUUCGGCAAGGAUGAUGGCGUAAUGGUUGUCGGCGGCC